rnacentral:rRNA from 1 species
UACAGAGACUGCAAGCGUUAUUCGGAUUCACUGGGCGUAAAGGGUGCGCAGGCGGCCAAGUGUGUCAGGUGUGAAAUCCCGAGGCUUAACCUCGGAACUGCGCCUGAAACUACUUGGCUAGAGUACUGGAGAGGGUAACGGAAUUCACGGUGUAGCAGUGAAAUGCGUAGAUAUCGUGAGGAACACCUGUGGCGAAAGCGGCUCACUGGACCACAACUGACGCUGAGGCGCGAAAGCUAGGGGAGCAAACAGG